AGGGACUUCGUGGUAGUGGCGCACGGGUGCGUAACGCGUGGGAACCUGCCUUUAGGUUCGGAACAACUCAGAGAAAUUUGAGCUAAUACCGGAUAAUGUCUUCGGACCAAAGAUUUAUCGCCUUUAGAUGGGCCCGCGUUAGAUUAGAUAGUUGGUGGGGUAACGGCCUACCAAGUCGACGAUCUAUAGCUGGUCUGAGAGGAUGAUCAGCCACACUGGGACUGAGACACGGCCCAGACUCCUACGGGAGGCAGCAGUGGGGAAUAUUGGACAAUGGGGGAAACCCUGAUCCAGCAAUGCCGCGUGAGUGAUGAAGGCCUUAGGGUUGUAAAGCUCUUUUACCAGGGAUGAUAAUGACAGUACCUGGAGAAUAAGCUCCGGCUAACUCCGUGCCAGCAGCCGCGGUAAUACGGAGGGAGCUAGCGUUGUUCGGAAUUACUGGGCGUAAAGCGCGCGUAGGCGGCAUAUCAAGUCAGGGGUGAAAUCCCGGGGCUCAACCCCGGAACUGCCCUUGAAACUGGUACGCUAGAAUACUGGAGAGGUGAGUGGAAUUCCGAGUGUAGAGGUGAAAUUCGUAGAUAUUCGGAAGAACACCAGUGGCGAAGGCGACUCACUGGACAGUUAUUGACGCUGAGGUGCGGAAGCGUGGG
rnacentral:rRNA from 1 species